rnacentral:rRNA from 1 species
AGUGAACGCUGGCGGUAGGCCUAACACAUGCAAGUCGAACGGCAGCACAGUAAGAGCUUGCUCUUACGGGUGGCGAGUGGCGGACGGGUGAGGAAUACAUCGGAAUCUACUUUUUCGUGGGGGAUAACGUAGGGAAACUUACGCUAAUACCGCAUACGACCUACGGGUGAAAGCAGGGGAUCUUCGGACCUUGCGCGAUUGAAUGAGCCGAUGUCGGAUUAGCUAGUUGGCGGGGUAAAGGCCCACCAAGGCCACGAUCCGUAGCUGGUCUGAGAGGAUGAUAAGCCACACUGGAACUGAGACACGGUCAAGACUCCUACGGGAGGCAGCAGUGGGGAAUAUUGGACAAUGGGCGCAAGCCUGAUCCAGCCAUACCGCGUGGGUGAAGAAGGCCUUCGGGUUGUAAAGCCCUUUUGUUGGGAAAGAAAAGCAGCAGGUUAAUACCCCGCUGUUCUGACGGUACCCAAAGAAUAAGCACCGGCUAACUUCGUG